rnacentral:rRNA from 1 species
UACGUAGGGGGCAAGCGUUGUCCGGAUUUAUUGGGCGUAAAGCGCGUGUAGGCGGCCAGGUAGGUCGCUGUGAAACCUCCAGGCUCAACCUGGAGACGCCACCCGAUACUGCUGUGACUAGAGUCCGGUAGGGGAGCGUGGAAUUCCUGGUGUAGCGGUGAAAUGCGCAGAUAUCAGGAGGAACACCAGCGGCGAAGGCGGCGCUCUGGGCCGGAACUGACGCUGAGGAGCGGAAGCGUGGGUAGCAAACAGG